CGGGACGAUAAGGUCACGGGGAAGGCAUCCGCUGGCGCAGCGGUUUACCUUCGAAGGACAAGACGCCUGGAAGCGCGCCGCCUCCCGAAGGAGGACGAAAGAAAUGAGAGUCUCGGGUUCCGAUGAUUUAUCGACACGAGUAGGAGGGGGCGGCAAGGCCGGGAGAGGCCUCGCCUCGCCGAGGCUCUUCCCACAUCCCCAGCGACUCCCCAGGCGGUGCCAUGCCUGCGAGGGCUGGCUCCCAGCCUCUACCUUCCUGCCGGCGGCCCGGGGAGGCCGCCCGGAGCUGGGGCUGCGCUGGGGACGGGCCGGCCACGUCCCUGCGGAAACGGGUAAAACUUGGCGCUGGUAGGGCCGAGCUGCCGCCGAGGCGGUGGAGGAGCAGUGGUUGUGCCCGUUCGCAAAGGGGGUGGCGGGGAGCGGGGCUGCUGUGCGGCUGCUGGCCCGGGCGGAGGUAAAAGCAAAACUCUGUUUGACUUUUCUGCUGGGAGAGGUGUCAUGGUGUAUGGCAUGGGCCCACCACUCCUACCAAUGAAUCUAUGCAGCAGACCUUGGCCAAGAAGUUCAAUACAAAACUAAGAGAGGAUGGUCUCAAGCUGUAACAUUAGAAAAAAUGAGAGACCAUAGACCACCAGUGGUUCCUUUCUGCUGAUUUUGGGGGUGAAAGACAAGGGGAAGUUAGAGUGCCUGAAAUGUUGGUAUGCCUGGGACCAUAUAGUUUGAAUACCAUCCAUGCUUGGAACUUCCUCAGACUAACAUCAAGGGACUAAGCAGGAGAUUAUUCCUGUUCAGUGAAUGUGCUGUCGAAAGUUAUAAUGUAAUAGUGAAAAAUGCCAGC